GUGAGCUACAGUUAUACAUAUUCUAAAAUAUCAACAAUACAGAGAAGACUAGCAUGGCCCCUGUGCUAGAAUGAUACUCAGAUUCAUG
rnacentral:snRNA from 1 species